CAGCAGCCGCGGUAAUACGUAGGUCCCGAGCGUUGUCCGGAUUUAUUGGGCGUAAAGCGAGCGCAGGCGGUUAGAUAAGUCUGAAGUUAAAGGCUGUGGCUUAACCAUAGUAUGCUUUGGAAACUGUUUAACUUGAGUGCAGAAGGGGAGAGUGGAAUUCCAUGUGUACCGGUGAAAUGCGUAGAUAUAUGGAGGAACACCGGUGGCGAAAGCGGCUCUCUGGUCUGUAACUGACGCUGAGGCUCGAAAGCGUGGGGAGCAAACAGGAUUAGAUACCCCCGUAGUCCCUGUCUCUUAUACA
rnacentral:rRNA from 1 species